rnacentral:rRNA from 1 species
AUUGAACGCUGGCGGCAGGCCUAACACAUGCAAGUCGAGCGGAUGAAGGGAGCUUGCUCCUGGAUUCAGCGGCGGACGGGUGAGUAAUGCCUAGGAAUCUGCCUGGUAGUGGGGGAUAACGUCCGGAAACGGGCGCUAAUACCGCAUACGUCCUGAGGGAGAAAGUGGGGGAUCUUCGGGCCUCACGCUAUCAGAUGAGCCCAGGUCGGAUUAGCUAGUUGGUGGGGUAAAGGCCUACCAAGGCGACGAUCCGUAACUGGUCUGAGAGGAUGAUCAGUCACACUGGAACUGAGACACGGUCCAGACUCCUACGGGAGGCAGCAGUGGGGAAUAUUGGACAAUGGGCGAAAGCCUGAUCCAGCCAUGCCGCGUGUGUGAAGAAGGUCUUCGGAUUGUAAAGCACUUUAAGUUGGGAGGAAGGGCAGUAAGUUAAUACCUUGCUGUUUUGACGUUACCAACAGAAUAAGCACCGGCUAACUUCGUG